rnacentral:lncRNA from 1 species
UCUCUUGGAAGCGGAAGUAGAGGCGAUCUUGGUAUCAUGAGUGGACACGGCGGAGCGAGGGGAAUCGCCUCCGCUGUUUUCCGGCGAAAGCUCGGAUUCUUCCAGCUCGGAGACAAAUUGGUGGUGGUUGAAUCUAUUAUUAUCCAUUUACCUAAUUGUACACUGAUUAAACAACAGUAACGAUGAUGUCUUCUAGAGAGAGAGAGAGAGAGGAAGAG